UUUUUAGUGUAAGUAUGUCCUGUGUAAUAUUUGAGACAUACUUGUACUAAAA
rnacentral:pre_miRNA from 1 species